GCUAGGGGUGCCUGAUUUAAGGCUGAGAUUACCCUUUGAACCUGAUUCCGGUUAAUACCGGCGUAGGAAAGCCC
rnacentral:ncRNA from 1 species